rnacentral:rRNA from 1 species
UACUUUGGUGUUUCUAGCAUGAUGGAACCACACUGAUCCAUACCGAACUCAGAAGUGAAACGUCAUAGCGGUGACAAUACUUGGGAGGGGACUCCCUGGGAAGAUAACUCAAUGCCAGAGUC